rnacentral:rRNA from 1 species
GAUGAACGCUAGCGAUAGGCCUAACACAUGCAAGUCGAGGGGCAUCACAUGAGGCAGCAAUGCCGAUGGUGGCGACCGGCGCACGGGUGAGUAACACGUAUGCAACCUGCCUUCAACAAGGGGAUAACCCGUUGAAAAAACGGACUAAUACCCUAUAAUACAGGGGUCCCGCAUGGGGAUAUUUGUUAAAGAUUGAUCGGUUGAAGAUGGGCAUGCGUUCCAUUAGCUGGUUGGUGAGGUAACGGCUCACCAAGGCAACGAUGGAUAGGGGAACUGAGAGGUUUAUCCCCCACACUGGUACUGAGACACGGACCAGACUCCUACGGGAGGCAGCAGUGAGGAAUAUUGGUCAAUGGACGCAAGUCUGAACCAGCCACGUCGCGUGAAGGAAGACGGCCCUACGGGUUGUAAACUUCUUUUGUAAGGGAAUAAAGUGUAGUACGCGUACUAUUUUGCAUGUACCUUACGAAUAAGGAUCGGCUAACUCCGUGCCAGCAGCCGCGGU